UAAUUCUUAAGGUUGAACAAAAAACUCUCAACUAAACUAAUUCUUCCUGAGGAUAUCAGGUCGGAUUAAUAGGGGAGAAAUUGCAAAUUUAUACCGAUCAAUGAUCAACUAAAGUUCAAUGGAAUAAGUUUUCGUCUUCUGGACAACCGCUUACAUGGCAUAAGGUAAGUGAAAAAAACAUUUAUGUUUUUGAGGUUUCAAGUUGAUUAUUUAUGGAAAUGAUUGUGGGUUGUGAACAUGAUGGACUUAUUAUGCUGCACCUGGGGGAGAUGAGCCUAUUGCACUCAACUUUGGAUCGAUGGGGAAAGGUGAAGCUGGGGUUAAUGGUCAAAGUAUUGGUCGAUAUUGGGUCCCUUUUCACACCCCUAAAGGCAUUCCUUCACAAACCUGGUAUCAUGUACCAAGAUCCUUCCUGAAGCCUACAGGCAAUCUUCUAGUUGUUUUUGAAGAAGAAGGACGUGGAUAUCCUCUAUCUAUCUCUUUAGACAAAGCUUCAAUAGUAGAAUUUCUUUUGGAUGAUUGGCAUCAUCUUAUUCAAUUUGCUUUUGUGGGGAAGCUGAGCUUUGUUUAUUUGCUUAAUUUAUCGAUCGCCGCACAUAAUUGAUACAUCAA